UACGGGGGGAGCAAGCGUUGUUCGGAUUUACUGGGCGUAAAGGGCGCGUAGGCGGUCGUGACAAGUCACUUGUGAAAUCUCCGGGCUUAACUCGGAACGGUCAAGUGAUACUGUCGGACUAGAGUACAGAAGGGGCAACUGGAAUUCUCGGUGUAGCGGUGAAAUGCGUAGAUAUCGGAAGGAACACCAGUGGCGAAAGCGGCUUCCUGGUCCAGCACCGACGUUCAGGCACGAAAGCGUGGGGAGCAAACAGG
rnacentral:rRNA from 1 species